GUUAACCUCCCUGAACCCUGAACACGCCCGAUCUCGUCUGAUCUCGGAAGCUAAGCAGGGUCGGGUCUGGUCAGUACUUGGAUGGGAGACCGCCUGGGAAUACCAGGUGCUGUAAGCU
rnacentral:rRNA from 1 species